CCUACGGGAGGCAGCAGUGAGGAAUAUUGGUCAAUGGCCGGAAGGCUGAACCAGCCAAGCCGCGUGAAGGACGAAGGUGCCAAGCAUUGUAAACUUCUUUUGUCAAGGGACAAAAUCAGGCUCGAGAGCCUGACCGAGGGUACUUGAAGAAAAAGCAUCGGCUAACUCCGUGCCAGCAGCCGCGGUACUACGGAGGAUGCGAGCGUUAUCCGGAUUUAUGGGGUUGAAAGUGUGCGUAGGCGGGCUGUUAUGUCAGCGGUAAAAGCCCGGGGCUAAACCCCGGAGAGCCGUUGAAACUGGCUGUCGUGAGAUGUGGAGAGGUAUGCGGAAUGCGAAGUGUAGCGGUGAAAUGCUUAGAUAUUGCGCAGAACUCCGAUUGCGAAGGCAGCAUACCGGCGGAGAUCUGACGCUGAGGCACGAAAGCGUGGGUAUCGAACAGGAGUAGAUACCCGGGUAGUC
rnacentral:rRNA from 1 species